rnacentral:lncRNA from 12 species
AUGUUUAAUAAUCCUGAGAUUAGAGCCCCUAAGCCCUCGCUGGCCUGGCCAGGGCCUCUUCUGUUUCCUGGUGCCCGAACAACGGAGGUCUUCCUAAAACUGGGACAGAACCAAGCCCUGGGGCCAUGGCAGGGAUGGGAGGGGCUGUUUUCCUCAGCCUGGGAAUUGCAAAACAAAGGGCAGACCCUCUGGAUCCUCUUCUUUCCCAGGCUCAGGGAGAGGCCACUCAACACCAGCUCGGGGGCCUGGAUCGCUCUGUGCCGGGGACAUCACACGGGGGCAUCACACCACCCCGGGGACAUCACACCACCCCAGGGACAUCACAUCAUAUGGGGACAUCACACCGGUGACCCCAGGGACAUCACAGCACCGCGGGGACAUCACAGCACCGCGGGGACAUCGCCCCCUGCUCCCCACAGCCGCCGCCGUCCCGGCCGUGGGGGAAGAAGCAUCUGGCAGCCGGGAAGCAGCAUCUGGCAGCCUGUUUACCCGGGGGAAGCAGCAUCUGGCAGCCUGUUUACCCGGGGGAAGCAGCAUCUGGCAGCCUGUUUACCCGGCUGCCUCCGGCUCCCAGCUGGAUUUUGCACCCUGCACAUGGGAGGUCAGGCAGUGCCGCCGCCUCGAGUUACCAGCGGCUCACACUCGGCCAGCUCGGCUCCCAACACCGUUUUCUGGCGUUUUGAAGGCUGCAGGAGGAACUCACUUCCUUCUCCUGCGUGAAGGAGCCGGAAUUUCCCUGAGCUUGGUUUGUUUCCUGACUUUUAAACCAUGCAAAUCAGGCACAGCUCUGGAGGAGGCAGUGGUGGCCCAGGAGAAUGUGUUGCACAACUGGGCACCUCCAUUUCCAGCCGGCCCAGAAAACUGAGCUUUACACCUGAAAACUCAUUCCCAAAAUAAUCAGCAUGAGCUUGGGAGUGAACUGAGAAGCCAGGUGUGCAAAGGGGAGCAGAAUGCGUGUCAGGAUAUACUUCUUACUGCUGGAACAGCACAGAAACAUGGAAUGGUUUGGGUUGAAAGGGAUAUAAAAGCCCCUCAGUGCCACCCCUGCCAUGGGCAGGGACACCUCCCACUGUCCCAGCUGCUCCAGCCCUGUCCAGCCUGGCCUGGGCACUGCCAGGGAUCCAGGGGCAGCCACAGCUGCUCUGGGCACCCUGCCCCAGGGCCUGCCCACCCGGAUCCAACUGCUCUGGGCACCCUGUGCCCACCCUGCAGGAACAAUUCCUGCCCAACAUCCCAUCCAACCCUGCCCGGGGCACUGGCAGCCAUUCCCUCCAGGCCCUCGCAAACACAGCUCUUACUUCCUGGAUUUACUUGUAAAAGAUGCCAGGCUGAAAAAUAAGUGAUUUCGUGUGCUUUUUGAGGGCUGCUCGUUGUUUUGAUUCACUCUCCCCAACAUCACCGAGCGCCUGCUCUCCUCUCCCACCACGAGCCAAGCCCUCGUCCCUCCGGAGGACACACCGAGCGCACCCCGAGUGACGCCGAGGCUACACCUGCACAGCACGCGUUACCUGCGCCUCCGCCAAGGACACCAUGUGCUCCCGGGGGGGCAGGGAAGGGGAGGGAAGGGAAGGGAAGGGAAGGGAAGGGGAGGGGAGGGGGGGGGGGGGGGGGGGGGGGGGGGGGGGGGGGGGGGGGGGGGGGGGGGGGGGGGGGGGGGGGGGGGGGGGGGGGGGGGGGGG